rnacentral:lncRNA from 1 species
UUUUAUUUGAAUAAUCUCUUUUCUUUCAGGUUAAAUAACAUUUGUGUUUUAAGUAGAUAAGAUAACAGUUCCAGCAGCAAUAAAUUUCCUGUAGUCGCGCUAUCUUUUUUCCCUAAGCAUUUCUAACUGAGCAGUUGGCCUUGUUAGGAGCUUUUGUUCAGCAUCAUCAAUUAGUGGCUUUCCUUAACAGCGGUGUCUGUUAGCUUUGUUCAUUGCAAACACUUUCCCUUUCAAACAUUUCUGAUGGAUUGGAAUGUUUUAUGGCUGAGAACUUCGGUCCAUUUUUUUGUUCUUGAGAUGAUAUCAGCCCUGAUUUAUUUAUUUUUUUUCCCCCCCCUGGCUUUUCUGCUGAAUGUUUUGUGAGAAGGAUAUCAUUGGCACUUCUAAAGCAUGCAGCUUUUACUUCCUGAGGAAUGAAUGAAGGGAAGGAAUAGUUGGAGCACACUCCUGUUUAUUACACUGAACCAUCACUUUUUUCCCCCAGAGCUCACACCACGCUGCUGAUGAUGACGGUGCAUUUGAAAUCAGUCGAAGCAGCUCUUGCAUUCAGAGAUGGUUUGCGUUCUUUCGGUCUCAUUCACAUCCAACUGAACUGGUUUUGCACCCUUAAAUGUGCAAUACCACUUAAUGACUGUUAGACUCAUUUCUUAUUUUGAUCAUUUAUUUAGCAAGGGUACCAAAAGGAAAGACAAAGCAUUUUGGGUGCAGGUUCUUGCUCUGGCUCUUGCAUCUCCGUCUCCCCACAGCACCAGUGGCUUUUAAGUGUAAAAGACCAAAUUGCAGAUGUUGUUUUUUAAUGUUUCUGUGACUUUUUACAUUUCAUUUUCCCAAGGUCAUUAGAUUCAAACACGAAUAUUAACAUAAAUAGAGCACUUUGAAGAAGAGGGCUAUUAUGUCAGCACUAGAUGUUAUUAGACUGGCUCCAAUCUAAGAGGAGCUUGUUGGAUUUUGAUUUCUUUCUUUCUUUCCAGAAAUAUGCCUCAGUUUGGUCUUUGCUGGAUGGAUGCACUGAGCAUUGGUGAGGACAGAGUGCAUCUCCUGUAAGAGAGGCCAAGCUCUUUCAGAGGCUCUGUCAAGAGGAGCCAAAGACAAUUUAGGAAGGGGAAAAGCCCUGCCCAGCAGAUAGCUCUCUCCCUCUUAGCGUUGAUUGCCCAGGUUUAGCUUUAGCUGAACCCACAGGUAGAUGCCCCAAAGCAAUGCUCUUUAUUCUAUUAUGUCUCUGUUCACUAUUGCCUCUCUUUCAUUGCUGGAACAUAGCUGGUUUGUGUUAGAAAAUAAAGUGUUAGAAAAUAAACCUGAUGAUAAGGUAAUUUUUUCAAUGCGGUUUUUAAUAUAUAGUUAAUAGUGUCUGUCAAGCUACUACCUGGUGAAAUGGUUUGGCUCGUGAGAGUGCCAUUUCGGAGGAUAUAAAUCACCUUAGUCUGUUUUACUUUACAUAUACUUUCAGGUAGUGAUUUAAGUUAGUUAACGAGGGUGUGAGAGUGCAGUAUCGCAGCAUUGCUCCUUAAGGAUGCCUGGUGGUGCCAUGAGAACACGGGCUGGGGAUUUGGGCUCCUUGGGCUCUCUGCAGUCCCAUCACAGAAGCUAGAUGCUGGAGCACUCUGAAAUGUUCACAGUGGCACUUGCUCUUCUGUGUGAACCCCUUCCUCUGCCAUCCUCCUCAGGUUGUCUGAUCUUUGAGCUGAGCUCAGGCUGUGGCUCUUACAGUCACCUCCUUUGGAGAUUGCACCCACAUGACUGUUGUUUCGUUUUCUCUGCAGUAAUCUGCUGCUGGCUCCUCCGUGACCUUUCUCCCUAAGAAAAACCUGUAUACUUCAAAGGUCUCUCAGGACAGUGAAACUACUUUGGUUCUGUCAAACAUAGGUGCGAAUAGGUUUCUCUCAUGCAAAAUUACUGACUGUUAUCUCUUUCUCUUUGCAGACAGGUCUUUUCAAGUAAGAUUCUUUCAACUAUAAUCUCUUUUGCAUGUUUAGUCAGUUUAGUGCAAACCUGACGAGGAAGAGACUCGUUCUCUGAUCUGAUGGUAGAACACAGUACUCAUUAAAAUUAAUAAUAAUAAUAAAAAUCAAAGUCUGUGGAUGCUUGAAGGCAUAGCUGACACCAAAACAAACAAUGAAGUUUUAGACAUAAACCCAGACUGGCAGCCUUGGCAGAUCAGCUGUUGACAUAACAGCAUCUUAACAACAAAAAGCAAAGAAAACAACAGCAACAAAAAUCCUUUUCCUCACUUUGCAACAUUUCUGAAAGCUCUUAUUUUUGUCUCCAGGCUUUUCUUUGGCAUACCCUGGACCCAGAGCAAGGAGGGAGUAGGAAACACCAUCCCAGAGCUGUGUCUGCACUAGGGGGCUGUGCUUGCAUGGCGAUAAGAGGAUUAGAAGUUUAGAGAAAGCUUUGUCCUCGUGUGGUAAGCCCUGAUAACAAACUUUGACUCAGUUAGCUGCUGCUUACAGCACAUUCCUCAUUGGAACAUAUCUGCAAUUGACCUUGACAUGGAAAACAUAAACCCGGUGGAAACAAACUGGUGAUGAUCUCCGUCUAACUGGAGAGCAGACUUCUGAUGUGAGCGCUGCAGCACCAUCCUUUCGGUAGCCCUGAGUCUCUGUAGGUGGAUGAACUGUUUCAGGACAUUCCUUCAUUCUGAGAAGUGGCUGUGGCCAACCAGCUGGAGGCUGCUGAGCUGCCCUGCGGUGCAAGAGGUGUGCUGGCAGGCAGCCCUGUGUUAAUUUUGAUGGCAAAGCUGUCUGAUCUUUUCCAGCUCUGACUUUUGGGUUUCUGCAAAGUAAAAAACUGCCCUAUGCAAAGGUGAUUCCACGCCAGGAGAAGGGUUCUGUGCUCCUUAGAGGGAAUGAAGGGAGGUAACUGAUCAUUCUCUGUAGCUGAUCCCAUUCUGACAGUUCUCAUUACAUCAAAUUUGAGUGCUCACUCUACCAUAUGGGAAAAGAGGCGGGGGAGUCUGUCUAGGACCACUGCUGGGGUGGGUCUCCAGUGGUGCUUGUGUCUUGACCUCAGGCAAUGCUUCCAUUCUUCCUUUGUUAAAAGAGUGAUUUGUCAGAUGCCAGGGACUCCUCAAUAAGUCUCCUGGGCUGGAGGAGAAUGGUCAGCAGUAUCUCAUAGGUUUCAUCACAGAACAAUUUUUAACGUUCAGAUUGGUUGUCCCUAGGACUUAAGUUGAGUUUGUCACAUCAGUAUCAUAGCAGAAGCAAAAGAGCUGCUAUCUUGGCAGGUGCUGGAACACCUUCCGGGCUCCUGGAGCUGGGGACAGCACUCAGCUCUUCAUAGAGAAGUGUGAUGCAGAAAAUUAGUUGUUAAAGCAAAUACAGGGAGAAAGGAGCAAGACAAGUGAAAGCCGAGAAAGCUGGAGUGAUUGUACAUUAGGCACAAUUAUACAAAGUCCGUUUUCUGGCAGCAUCACUCCUGACUGGCACGAGAGCUCCAGGACCAUCAGCUCAUCAGGAAAUCUCCUGUCUGCCCGGAGCACGCAGUGAAUUCCCACCUUUGCACUCAAGGCACAGCAUUAAGUGCUUCCAAAGUAUGUUACUCGUUUGCAUUUCUGUAAUAUUUCUCCACUGUAGCAUCAGAGUGCUCUGUAAAUAGUCACUGCUAACCUCCCUGGGUGGGGUGCUGGGGAUGGGUUUGUUUUUUUGGCUUACGGAGAGCAAAAGGUUUGCGUUGUGAGUCAGCACUGAAGCUCAGUAAUUCAACACGAGAUGGGUUUAAGGCUACCUUUGACCAAUCCGGGGCUGUUGUGGCUUCCAGGGUAAUGCAGAGCAUCCGUGGAAUCCCUCUGUGCAGCAGGGUGAAGAUCUGAGGAAGAGACCUACAGCCAAAUGGCCUGAGCUGUCACAGCACGGUACCUAUGAUUCCCAUGACGGCUCCAUCCUGCAACGUUCUGAACCUCCUCACUGUGCUUCAGCAAUGCGAUCAGGUCCAGAUACGAGCUCAGGACUGGACCUACUGCAACAAGCAGUGUGAACAAUGCUGGGCUCUUACUGCCAUGCUCAGGUACAAGGCCUGAUGUUUCAGAACCCCCUGGUUACCUGGUGGAUGCAUUUAGGAGCACAUAGGAAUACUCGGGAAAUGCCCAAUCUUCCAUGCCUCACUUUGCUCUGUUGGGAGCUGUGAUUGUGUAGACUGAGAUCUGUAAAGCUGUAGUAAAAGGAAGAAGGACCCAAACAGGGAGGGGUGGGAGCUCCACAAAGUAACGUGGGCCUUCUUUCCCUUAAGUGGUGUUUAUGAGCUGACUGUGGAAGGUCUCGUGUCCCUGUAGGCAAGCAUCACUCUUCUGUAACUUGGUGCACCCCAUAGGUGUGUGAGCAGGAGAAGCAUUGCAGGCACAUUGCUGCCCUGGCAGCCUCCCCUGCUCUGCUGGGACCACUGGAGCCCGCUUUGUGCUCACAGCUGUGUGGGUGCUGCCACUGCUGUACUGCUACCUUACUGUCUCAUGUGUCAGCAUGUAA